rnacentral:rRNA from 1 species
CCUACGGGAGGCAGCAGUGGGGAAUUUUGGACAAUGGGCGCAAGCCUGAUCCAGCCAUGCCGCGUGCGGGAAGAAGGCCUUCGGGUUGUAAACCGCUUUUGUCAGGGAAGAAAAGGUUCUGGCUAAUACCUGGGACUCAUGACGGUACCUGAAGAAUAAGCACCGGCUAACUACGUGCCAGCAGCCGCGGUAAUACGUAGGGUGCAAGCGUUAAUCGGAAUUACUGGGCGUAAAGCGUGCGCAGGCGGUUAUGCAAGACAGAGGUGAAAUCCCCGGGCUCAACCUGGGAACUGCCUUUGUGACUGCAUAGCUAGAGUACGGUAGAGGGGGAUGGAAUUCCGCGUGUAGCAGUGAAAUGCGUAGAUAUGCGGAGGAACACCGAUGGCGAAGGCAAUCCCCUGGACCUGUACUGACGCUCAUGCACGAAAGCGUGGGGAGCAAACAGGAUUAGAUACCCUGGUAGUCCACGCCCUAAACGAUGUCAACUGGUUGUUGGGAGGGUUUCUUCUCAGUAACGUAGCUAACGCGUGAAGUUGACCGCCUGGGGAGUACGGCCGCAAGGUUGAAACUCAAAUGAAUUGACGG